GUUUGAUCAUGGCUCAGGACGAACGCUGGCGGCGUGCCUAAUACAUGCAAGUCGUACGCUUCUUUUUCCACCGGAGCUUGCUCCACCGGAAAAAGAAGAGUGGCGAACGGGUGAGUAACACGUGGGUAACCUGCCCAUCAGAAGGGGAUAACACUUGGAAACAGGUGCUAAUACCGUAUAACAAUCGAAACCGCAUGGUUUUGAUUUGAAAGGCGCUUUCGGGUGUCGCUGAUGGAUGGACCCGCGGUGCAUUAGCUAGUUGGUGAGGUAACGGCUCACCAAGGCCACGAUGCAUAGCCGACCUGAGAGGGUGAUCGGCCACAUUGGGACUGAGACACGGCCCAAACUCCUACGGGAGGCAGCAGUAGGGAAUCUUCGGCAAUGGACGAAAGUCUGACCGAGCAACGCCGCGUGAGUGAAGAAGGUUUUCGGAUCGUAAAACUCUGUUGUUAGAGAAGAACAAGGAUGAGAGUAACUGUUCAUCCCUUGACGGUAUCUAACCAGAAAGCCACGGCUAACUACGUGCCAGCAGCCGCGGUAAUACGUAGGUGGCAAGCGUUGUCCGGAUUUAUUGGGCGUAAAGCGAGCGCAGGCGGUUUCUUAAGUCUGAUGUGAAAGCCCCCGGCUCAACCGGGGAGGGUCAUUGGAAACUGGGAGACUUGAGUGCAGAAGAGGAGAGUGGAAUUCCAUGUGUAGCGGUGAAAUGCGUAGAUAUAUGGAGGAACACCAGUGGCGAAGGCGGCUCUCUGGUCUGUAACUGACGCUGAGGCUCGAAAGCGUGGGGAGCAAACAGGAUUAGAUACCCUGGUAGUCCACGCCGUAAACGAUGAGUGCUAAGUGUUGGAGGGUUUCCGCCCUUCAGUGCUGCAGCUAACGCAUUAAGCACUCCGCCUGGGGAGUACGACCGCAAGGUUGAAACUCAAAGGAAUUGACGGGGGCCCGCACAAGCGGUGGAGCAUGUGGUUUAAUUCGAAGCAACGCGAAGAACCUUACCAGGUCUUGACAUCCUUUGACCACUCUAGAGAUAGAGCUUCCCCUUCGGGGGCAAAGUGACAGGUGGUGCAUGGUUGUCGUCAGCUCGUGUCGUGAGAUGUUGGGUUAAGUCCCGCAACGAGCGCAACCCUUAUUGUUAGUUGCCAUCAUUCAGUUGGGCACUCUAGC
rnacentral:rRNA from 1 species